UACGUAGGGAGCAAGCGUUGUCCGGAUUUAUUGGGCGUAAAGAGCUCGUAGGCGGUUCCGUAAGUCAGGUGUGAAAAAUCUGGGCUCAACCCAGUGGAGCACCUGAUACUGCGGUGACUCGAGUCCGGUAGGGGAGUGUGGAAUUCCCGGUGUAGCGGUGAAAUGCGCAGAUAUCGGGAGGAACACCGGUGGCGAAGGCGGUUCUCUGGGCCUUACCUGACACUGAGGAGCGAAAGCGUGGGGAGCGAACAGG
rnacentral:rRNA from 1 species